CUACAGAUCCCACCCUGGUUGAUGAUUGAUAUCCUCGACACCCUAGAGUGAAGAACUCUGGUUGCCCUCGCACUUUCCGCAAGGAAAGCGGUGAAUUCCUCCCUUUGGGAGGGUCCACUGUAUAGAGGACGGUGAUGAUCUCGUCCCCUUUCUCGGUCUUGCCUUUUGGGCGCGUGGAAGGGGUGGGUGUCGAUGGACGUCUGACAGGC
rnacentral:snoRNA from 1 species